rnacentral:lncRNA from 1 species
GGAGGCAGCUCGGUGCUGUGUGCAGUGAAGCCAAUCACACCGAGCGGCAGCUCCACAGCUGCUCAGGCGCUGACACCGCGACGCGGUCGGCGGGGGCUCAAUUCUUUUGCCACCGUGCGGGGCCGGGACAGGAGCGCAGGUGGCUCGGCCUUCCCUCCCUCCCUUCCUCUUAGGUGGGAUUUUACCAUCCCUCGGACGCAGUCCCUGUCCCUGCCGGAUGAGGAGCGGGGAGCGCCAUCCACACGUGCGGGGAGCCCUUCUUCCUCUUUCCCCUCACCGACAGCCGCGCUGUGCACCGCGGUGAGUCACCGGCAGGUCAGCUCCGCGCCUAGGGGCGGAGAGACCGAGGGGACCGCCGCCGUGCCGCUGGGAGCCGCCACCAGCUCGCCAGAGGGAAGAGCCGCCCCGCAGCUCAGGUGCCGGCCGGGAGGCCCCCGCCCGCAGCCCCGCACCGCAGCCCAGGUAGGGACGGCAGCACGGGGAGCGCGACUGGACGGUGGGCUCAAAGAGGAGCGGAGGAAGGGGGCAGUCCCGGGGCGCGUAGGUGUGUCGGGCUGCGCCCCGCCCCGCCCCACCCGGCCGGGCUGGGCCGGGCCGAGAGCCGGAGCGGGGAGCGGGGAGCGGUUGCCCGCCCGCCCGCCCGCCUGCCGUAGCGCUCGCCCCUCCGGCGGCGGUGCCGCUCCGCAGCGCUGCUCCGGCCGCCGCGAGUCUGGAAGAACAGGUGAAGUCUGAGGGAUUCCAUAUGGACAUACUGGUUGGGAAAUCUAUUUAGGAACAUGCUAAAACAAGAGCAUGGCACCAAAUACACUGAAAGGAAGGAGUUGCUUCGUUGACAAGUAACCCUUUGUCUUUAUUCCUGUAAUGGCAUUAAAAUGUCCUCAUCUAACUCUUGUCCCAUUUAUUGUAUUUCUUCCUCUUUCAGAGUUAUCUCUGUCACUUGGGUUAAAAUUGAUGAUGUAGAGAAUAUAUCUGCUUCUGUGUUGUGUCAGAAAGGGAGCACUUUUGGAAUUUUCAGCUUAAUCUAUUAUUUGUCAGAACAUGUUGACUUGUCAGAACUGAAUGCAGGAAUGUAUAACAGAGUUUUUGUGCAGUUUCUCAGGGUGGAAGUGCUGGCUAAAAGGAGGUAGACAGUUGGACUGCUUUCCCACUCCUCCCAGCCCAGCACUGAUGGUGCAGGGACGUGAACAUGGUUGUUCUUGGAUCGCAUGAGGCUUUAGGGUGUUUCACACAAACUUUGAAAGCUCUUGGUUUCAUCCCAGUACAGAGCAGGAAAAAAGUCUGUAACAGCAAGAAGUUUCAUGGGAUGAGAAAACAGUUCCCUGCCCUAUAAAAUAUAAAGUCAGCAUUAUGUGUACUGUGGCUGUUUCCUAAUUACGAAUUUCUGUUCUUUUCAAUUAUUAUUGUUUUGAAUCUGUUUAGCUAUUUUUCAGAAUUGUUAUUACUGAUUAAUAUAAAAUAAAAAAAGGUUACAGGAAAGAAAAACCUUCA